GAUGAACGCUGGCGGCGUGCCUAAUACAUGCAAGUCGAGCGAACGGACGAGAAGCUUGCUUCUCUGAUGUUAGCGGCGGACGGGUGGGUAACACGUGGAUAACCUACCUAUAAGACUGGGAUAACUUCGGGAAACCGGAGCUAAUACCGGAUAAUAUUUUGAACCGCAUGGUUCAAAAGUGAAAGACGGUCUUGCUGUCACUUAUAGAUGGAUCCGCGCUGCAUUAGCUAGUUGGUAAGGUAACGGCUUACCAAGGCAACGAUGCAUAGCCGACCUGAGAGGGUGAUCGGCCACACUGGAACUGAGACACGGUCCAGACUCCUACGGGAGGCAGCAGUAGGGAAUCUUCCGCAAUGGGCGAAAGCCUGACGGAGCAACGCCGCGUGAGUGAUGAAGGUCUUCGGAUCGUAAAACUCUGUUAUUAGGGAAGAACAUAUGUGUAAGUAACUGUGCACAUCUUGACGGUACCUAAUCAGAAAGCCACGGCUAACUACGUGCCAGCAGCCGCGGUAAUACGUAGGUGGCAAGCGUUAUCCGGAAUUAUUGGGCGUAAAGCGCGCGUAGGCGGUUUUUUAGUCUGAUGUGAAAGCCCACGGCUCAACCGUGGAGGGUCAUUGGAAACUGGAAAACUUGAGUGCAGAAGAGGAAAGUGGAAUUCCAUGUGUAGCGGUGAAAUGCGCAGAGAUAUGGAGGAACACCAGUGGCGAAGGCGACUUUCUGGUCUGUAACUGACGCUGAUGUGCGAAAGCGUGGGGAUCAAACAGGAUUAGAUACCCCGGUAGUCCACGCCGUAAACGAUGAGUGCUAAGUGUUAGGGGGUUUCCGCCCCUUAGUGCUGCAGCUAACGCAUUAAGCACUCCGCCUGGGGAGUACGACCGCAAGGUUGAAACUCAAAGGAAUUGACGGGGACCCGCACAAGCGGUGGAGCAUGUGGUUUAAUUCGAAGCAACGCGAAGAACCUUACCAAAUCUUGACAUCCUUUGACCACUCUAGAGAUAGAGUUUUCCCCUUCGGGGGACAAAGUGACAGGUGGUGCAUGGUUGUCGUCAGCUCGUGUCGUGAGAUGUUGGGUUAAGUCCCGCAACGAGCGCAACCCUUAAGCUUAGUUGCCAUCAUUAAGUUGGGCACUCUAAGUUGACUGCCGGUGACAAACCGGAGGAAGGUGGGGAUGACGUCAAAUCCUCAUGCCCCUUAUGAUUUGGGCUACACACGUGCUACAAUGGACAAUACAAAGGGCAGCGAAACCGUGAGGUCAAGCAAAUCCCAUAAAGUUGUUCUCAGUUCGGAUUGUAGUCUGCAACUCGACUACAUGAAGCUGGAAUCGCUAGUAAUCGUAGAUCAGCAUGCUACGGUGAAUACGUUCCCGGGUCU
rnacentral:rRNA from 1 species